rnacentral:rRNA from 1 species
GAUGAACGCUGGCGGCGUGCCUAAUACAUGCAAGUCGAGCGAAUGGAUUAAGAGCUUGCUCUUAUGAAGUUAGCGGCGGACGGGUGAGUAACACGUGGGUAACCUGCCCAUAAGACUGGGAUAACUCCGGGAAACCGGGGCUAAUACCGGAUAACAUUUUGCACCGCAUGGUUCGAAAUUGAAAGGCGGCUUCGGCUGUCACUUAUGGAUGGACCCGCGUCGCAUUAGCUAGUUGGUGAGGUAACGGCCCACCAAGGCAACGAUGCGUAGCCGACCGAGGAGGGGGAUCGGCCACACUGGGACUGAGACACGGCCCAGACUCCCACGGGAGGCAGCAGUAGGGAAUCUUCCGCAAUGGACGAAAGUCUGACGGAGCAACGCCGCGUGAGUGAUGAAGGCUUUCGGGUCGUAAAACUCUGUUGUUAGGGAAGAACAAGUGCUAGUUGAAUAAGCUGGCACCUUGACGGUACCUAACCAGAAAGCCACGGCUAACUACGUGCCAGCAGCCGCCGUAA